CCUACGGGAGGCUGCAGUGAGGAAUAUUGGUCAAUGGGCGCGAGCCUGAACCAGCCAAGUAGCGUGAAGGAUGACUGCCCUACGGGUUGUAAACUUCUUUUAUAAAGGCAUAAAGUGAGGUACGCGUGCCUUUUUGUAUGUACUUUAUGAAUAAGGAUCGGCUAACUCCGUGCCAGCAGCCGCGGUAAUACGGAGGAUCCGAGCGUUAUCCGGAUUUAUUGGGUUUAAAGGGAGCGUAGGUGGUCGGUUAAGUCAGUUGUGAAAGUUUGCGGCUCAACCGCAAAAUUGCAAUUGAUACUGGCAGUCUUGAGUACAGUUGAGGUAGGCGGAAUUCGUGGUGUAGCGGUGAAAUGCUUAGAUAUCACGAAGAACUCCGAUUGCGAAGGCAGCUUACUAAACUGCCACUGACGUUGAUGCUCGAAAGUGUGGGUAGCAAACAGGAUUAGAUACCCGAGUAGUC
rnacentral:rRNA from 1 species